AUGGCUGUCAGGCUCCUCUGCUAUGUGGCCCUUUAUCUUCUGGAGGCAGGCCUCGUGGAUGCUGGUAUCACCCAGAACCCGAGAUACUGUGUUUCAGGGAUAGGAAAGAAGAUUGUUCUGGAAUGCUCUCAAACUAUGGGCUAUGAGAACAUGUACUGGUAUCGCCAAGACCCAGGAAAGGCAUUACAGUUGAUCCAUUAUUCGUAUGGUGUUAAUACCACAGAGAAGGAAGAGCUCUCCUCUGGAUCAACUGUCUCCAGAUUAAAGAAGGAGCACUUUCCCCUGACCCUAGAGUCUGCCAGCCCCUCACAGACAUCUCUGUACCUCUGUGCCAGCAGUGAAUACACAGUGCCACACAGGCACCUACAGCCUGCAUAA